rnacentral:lncRNA from 1 species
UUGCAGUGUGAGGUGCCUUGCAGAACCAUCCCCACCCUCCCCCACUCACCAGUACAGCAGCUGCAGCUUGUUGGGUGCUAAUGGGGCUGGCUGCCUCCUUCUGCAACUGCUCUAAGGAAAGCCACCCCAGCACUUGGACCUGUUGUCCUUCAAAAAGAGAAGUGCAUCUGCACACAGCUUUUCUCAAGUAAGGGUUGGGAUUUGCUUUCCUUGGCUAUUGAUUUUAGAAGAGCUGGAGCUUGGAAGAACUGAAGACAUCCAUCCUCCAUUCUUAGGUGAUCUUCUCGAAGGAAAGAUCGGUGUCAAAUGGAAGCAAGUUUUCCCUCUACGUCAUGAUGCUAGUACGUUUUUAUUAUAGAUUGAGAUCCUAAGGCUGUGCUGAUCUGCUACAUGAUUAUAUAAUGCUCCAGGACACCUGUGUAAAUAGCAAACAGAGAGGCUUUUUGUAGAUACUAGAUCUUAGAUAAGUGACUCUGAGAAGUAAUAUAGGAUCUUGGCUGUAAACCUCUGUUAUAUGCACUACGUAUUUUUGGUCAUUUGUUUAUUAUGAGAAGUACAGAAGCUGCUCCUCGUACCGUAAUUUUUGUAAGGCUUGCAUGUAUAAAUAUUCAUUUUGCAAAUAUUAAAUGGAGGAGCAUGAGAGAAAC